rnacentral:rRNA from 1 species
AGGACGAACGCUGGCGGCGUGCUUAACACAUGCAAGUGGAGCGACGAACCAGGGCUUGCCCUGGGGCAGAGCCGCGAACGGGUGAGUAACACGUGGGUUACCUGCCUCGAUGACCGGGACAACCCGAGGAAACUCGGGCUAAUACCGGAUGUGCCCGCAAGGGGAAAGGAAGCUUCGGCCUCCGCAUCGAGAUGGGCCCGCGGCCCAUUAGCUUGUUGGUGAGGUAACGGCUCACCAAGGCUUCGAUGGGUAGCUGGUCUGAGAGGACGAUCAGCCACACUGGGACUGAGACACGGCCCAGACUCCUACGGGAGGCAGCAGUGGGGAAUCUUGCGCAAUGCGCGAAAGCGUGACGCAGCAACGCCGCGUGGGGGAAGAAGGCUUUCGGGUGUAAACCCCUUUCAGUUGGGACGAAGCUUCGACGGUGAAUAGCCGGACGGAGUGACGGUACCUUCACAAGAAGCACCGGCUAACUACGUGCCAGCAGCCGCGGU